rnacentral:rRNA from 1 species
UACGUAGGGGGCGAGCGUUGUCCGAAUUUACUGGGCGUAAAGAGCGCGUAGGCGGGCUUCUAAGUGAGAGGUGAAAGGUUCGGGCUCAACCCGGAGAGUGCCUUUCAUACUGGGAGCCUUGAGUGCGGGAGAGGCAAGUGGAAUGGUCGGUGUAGCGGUGAAAUGCGUAGAUAUCAAGUGGAACACCAGUGGCGAAGGCGAGUCUCUGGACAUUUCCUGACGCUGAGGCACGAAAGCCAGGGGAGCAAACGGG